CAGGGUGCUGGGCCUCAUGUGCAUCGCCCGGUAGAUGCUGAAGGCCUAAUAGCUCAUACCAGUACCUCACCUCAACAAAUACCAGAACAGCCAAAUUUUGCAGACUUCAGCCAGUUUGAGGCAUUUGCUGUUUCAGGUGUAAACAAAGAGGAAGAAGAUGAAAUCGAAACACACUCAGAAGCCUUGCAGGUUGAAAAGCCCUCUGAUUCUGCAAGUUCUCUUAGAGUUGCCAAAGCGGAUGGAAGAGUUGAAGACAAAGCACCUGCUAAUGUCCCCGCUAGUGCGGGUAAAGGCACUACCCCACUUGCUCCACCACCAAAGCCUAUUCGCAGAAGAUUAAAAUCAGAAGAUGAGCUAAGACCUGAAGCUGAGGAACAUACACAGAAAACAGGUGUCAUAGCUGCUGUUCUUGCUUCACAGCCAUCUAUUCCUAGGUCAGUGGGGAAAGACAAGAAGGCAAUUCAGGCAUCAAUCAGACGUAACAAGGAAACCAACACUGUUUUGGCCAGAUUGAAUAGUGAACUACAGCAGCAACUAAAGGAUGUUCUUGAAGAGAGAAUCUCCCUGGAAGUCCAACUGGAACAACUUCGACCCUUCUCUCACCUCUAAGCCUACUGCCGUUAACUGUGAAUUUACUAAUUUUGAAAGGGGUAUUGGUUUCAAAGCCUAUUUAAAGAUCCAUGCAUCUAGCUCAGUGCACUGUAUUUUACAUUAAAUGUUGUGGUUCUGUUUUGUCAAUUUGUUCACUUUUGUAUUUAAGUAUUUUAAUUUCAGUACAGAGAAAAAGAAAAAACCAACAUUUUUCCUCGAAUGUGACACUGCCUCUCACAUCACUUUCUGUGGGCAUCCGUGAUCUUUGUUGGACUUAGGUUUGCAGAGUUUGCCGCCAAAA